UUCUUUUCUGCCGAUUUGCUCCCAGUUUAUUUUCUUUUUUUUUUUCUGCAGAUUUGCUCCCAGUUUAUUUUCUUUUCUUUUCUGCAGAAUAAUUCUGGGUUUUUAUUCAUUUUCAGGAACGAAUACCCAUGGUGACUCUUGCCACUACUUUGGGAAGAGAGGGAAUCAGUGCUUUCCGCUUUGACUUUGCUGGGAACGGGGAAAGUGAAGGUUCCUUUAUGUAUGGUAACUACCGCAGAGAAGCCGAAGAUUUACGAGCUGUCAUCCGACAUUUCUGCAAGAACCAACGUCUAAUAACUGCAAUUCUUGGCCACAGUAAAGGUUUGGGGAAUGUGGUGCUUCUCUAUGCUUCAAAGUACAAUGAUGUACCCACCAUCAUCAAUAUUUCUGGUCGGUUCCAUUUGGAGAAAGGCAUGGAAGGUCGAUUGGGUAAAGAUUUUUUACAAAGAAUUAAGCAGAAUGGGUUUAUUGAUUUUAAGAAUAGAAAAGGACAGUUUGAAUAUCGUGUAACUCAAGAAAGUUUGAUGGACCGAUUAACCACCGACACUCGUGCAGCAUGUCUUUCGAUUGAUCAAAAUUGCAGGGUAUUAACCAUUCAUGGAUCCAUGGAUAAAAUUGUACCAGCCAAAGAUGCUCUGGAAUUUGCCAGUUUAUACGAAAUCACAAGUCGCACAUAAUUGAAGGAGUUGAUCAUGAGUAUCGCACACCGGGAUGAGUUAGCUACAGCUUGUGCUCGAUUUUGUAAAGGCGAUUCGUGA